GAAAAAUGUUUUCCUAAAAUUAAAGUGUUACUUGAUUCGAAAAGAGACUCACGGUGAAAGAUAUCAAGUGAAAUUGUUUCACUAAGCGAUAGCUCAUAGAUAGAUGAAACGAUCAUGGAGUUUAACUAUACGAUAGUUCACUUAGCUGUUCGUAGCUAAACGAUCGUCUGACAUUGUCUAUACGAUAGGCUACCAUCUUCUACACGAUUGAGCAAAUCGUUUAUCGAUAGACUGUGUCAUCUCCCACUUCCUCAAUUGUCUACACGAUUGUUGUUCCUCCAGUCUCUUCCUCUAACCAAGAUCAUACAGAGCCCACAACUCCUAGAUUCUCACACUGAAAAUACCAAGGUAACCAUUGUGGUGGUGUCCUCCUCAACUCGACUGAUUUCGAGGUUCUGGAGGUCGUUCGUUGGGUUCGUGUUCAUUGUGUUCGUUGUGUUCGUGCUGGUGUUCGUGUUGUACCAUUCGUUGCGCCUGUGUUGCUGAGGACGUUGGUAGAUUGAUCGAGGGAGUUUGAAGAAUGAGUCUUCAAAGGUACUGAGCAUCUUGGAGGUAGAAUCAGUCAUUACGAUCUAUUCAAGGUUAGUUUGGAGCAAUUAGGAGCUAAUUUGAGGAACCGAGCUUCAAAAGGACAUGAAAGGACCAAAAUGACCCUAGAUGGAGUGUUGCAACACUCAAGCGAGCGUUGCACAACGUUGAGUGGAAAAAGCUGCCUAUUUUGUGCAAAACAAGAAAGUGUUGCAACACUACAAACAUGAUGACGGACGAGCGCACGAGGCAGGGCAACGUUGCAAUGCUGCUUUGCAACGUUGGGAUUCUGCAGUAUAAAUAUUUGUCUUCGUUUUAAGGUAGAGACAAACGUCCACCCUCAACCUUCAGUCGAUUUUUCCCUCUCUUCUCUCUUCCACUUGUUCUUUGGGUGUUUCUUUAGUAGUUAAUCAAGUAAUACCAGAUUGUAGCUACAAUUAUAAUGGGAAAAAUAGACGGCGGGACCCAUUUGGUCAGACCUACAAUCCUGGGUGGAGAGACCACCCAAACUUCAAAUGGGGAGGACAGAAUGAGCAGGCCCAGCCGAAUCAUGGAGCUCCAUCUGGUUCAAGUAUGUCCUUGGAAGACAUUGUUAAAAAGUCUUGCUGACAAAAUAUUUUAAAUUUCAACAGGAUACACAGCAUUUUUAGCAAGAUACAAGGAAAGCCAUUGAAGCUUUGGGGACCCAAGUCUCAUAGCUAGCCACCUCUAUGAGAAAAUUGGAGAGACAGUCUGGCAAACUUCCAUCCCAUCCUGAGUCAAUUCUUAGAGAGAAUGUUAGUGCAAUCACAUUGAAGAGUGGCAAGGAGUUGGAGCUACCUAUUGAGUUAGUGAAAAAGCCAGAAUUGGAGAAACUAGAAAUUCCUUCUUCAGAUCAAUCUGUUUUGCCACCACAAAAUAAACAGCUUGCUAGGCCAAAAGAAAUAGUUGCAAACAAGGACAAUGAGCUUUUGGAAAUGUUUAAAAGGGUUGAGAUAAAUAUUCCUCUCCUCGAUGCCAUCAAGCAAAUCCCCAAACAUGCCAAAUUUUUUAAGGAGCUUUGCACGAGGAAAAGACAAGCCAAGGAAAAAGAGAGAAUGGUGGUAAGUCAAUCCGUAUUUGCAAUCCUACAAAAAAACUUGCCAGAAAAACAGAAGGAUCCAAGUAUGUUUUCUCUCCCUUGCAUCAUAGGCAAAAAGAAAAUUGAUAGGGCCAUGCUAAAUUUGGAUGCAUCAAUAAAUGUCAUGCCUUAUUCAAUUUAUCAAGAAUUAAAAUUGAAAGACCUGACUGAAACUGGAAUUUUAAUUUAAUUAGCUGAUAUGUCUUUUAUACACCCAUUGGGAGUCAUUGAGGAUAUCCUAGUUCAGGUUAAUGGUUUGAUUUUACCUGCUGGCUUUUAUGUUCUUAAGAUGGAGAAGUCCACAUCUAUUUCAUCUACAUCAAUCUUGCUUGGGCGGCCUUUUAUGAAGACAGCCAAGACUAAGAUUGAUGUGGAUGAAGGCACCUUGUCUGUUGAGUUCGAUGGUGAGAUAGCUAAGUUUAAUAUUUUUUAUGAUAAGAAAUCUUCCACCAAAGGGCAUGUACAGUCUUUGUGCCAGGUUAAUGCGUUUCACUAUUUUGAGCAGGAGGUUAUAUGGGACGUCUAUGACGACAAUGAGGAUGAUUCAGGAGACUUGAUUUCACUUGAGGAGCUCGCCGAUUUAUUGAUGACAGAACCGGUAGGUAAGCCCUAUUAUUCUAAUGAUGAAUCCUCUGAUGAGGUGCUUCUUUCUGUUUUGUAGGCACCUAAAGUUGACUUAAAGAAGCUGCCAGAGCUUUUGAAUUAUGCCUAUAUAGGAGAAGCUGAGGCGUUUCCUGUAAAGAACCUGACUGAGGACAUUUCUCCAUACCUGUUGAUGUGCAAGGUUACGGAGAAUUCUGCGUCUAAAUUUGACAAGAUCCAGGUGAUAGAGUUUGAGGUCAAAAGGCCUCGUCAUGUUCUAGCUUUCAGGAUUUCAUAUAUAUUUGAAUUUUGUUCUCCUACUCCUCACAAGUCUGUUGAGUCUUUCGUUUCUUUGGAUUCUCCGGAGUCAUUUGAGUUUUCUGAUGCUUUCUUUUUACCUUGUUUACCAUAUUCCAAAAAACCCAAAUUUGACCUGCAUGGUUUUCUUCUAAAGACGAGAUGCCUUUUAGCCUUACUAGGUUAUAUUGAUUCAUCUAAGAAGAGACCUAAGAAACACGAGAAUUUUUAUGUACCUUGACAAUGAGCCAUCAAGGUCGAGCAAUCGACCAUAAACAUUUUCGUCACCUAGAGGCAGCCAGGAUUUAAAUUUACUUGCUUUCUAGGAUUAGAUUUCAAUUCAAUAUUUUUCUCUUUUUAUUUUUCUCAUUUAUUGAGCCUAAUUCUUUCUAUUAUUCUUGUUUGUGGGAUUUUUGGGGAGAAAAAGAGCUGAGCAGAGUUCCAUACAUCCUUUCUUCACCUCAUUGUUCAGGGAAGUAUUCUAAUCCCUCGUGCUAUGUGUAUUUUAAAAAGUUAGAGGUGGGGUGUUUGAAUUUUUUGCCCUUUUUUUUUCAAAUUUUUGGGCUGAUUUUUAUUUUAUUGAUGAUAUUAUUUGGGGUCCUUGAGCACUAUGCUCGGACAAUGCUUGCUUGCUUGUUUUUCUUGCUAUUGUGUGCCUUAUGAUGACUAGCCUAUGACGCACUCAUAGGAAUUGUUUUUGCAUGAGAAUAGGUCAGAUGAAAGGGUUCAUAAUUUUCAUGAUAUUUUUGAAAAUUAUGCUUAAAAUUUUUAUUACAUCUCCAAGCUCUUUGCAUAUCUAUCUUGACCAUGUACGCUUGUUUAGAAUUGAAUUAUGAGACCAUAAGUUUGUUGUCACUCCGAUAGGCCUUGGUGAUAGAUAUUAGUCUUUUUGCAAUUCAAUUUAGUAAUGCAUGCUUGAGAUGUAGUCAAUUGAUAUCACUGUCGCUUGCUAAAUAUAUAUAUAUAAUAAAACAAAAUAUUUAUUUCAUUUAUACAUGUUUAGGGGUUUACUCCUCUUCUUCAAAGGGUAUGAUUAACCUGAGGUGACCAUGACACCCGUGGUUUCCCUCUGAGCUAAAGUAUCCUAGAGGAAUGAGUAAGCUUAGCAACUUUUGAAGGAAAAUUGGCCCAUAGUUUGAUGAUUCGCAUGACACCAGUGUGGGCAAGCCAAAACAAAAGUUGGUUUCCUGAAUUAAGUUUCCUCUCUUUAUUUUUUGUUGUAAAAAAAAGGGCGAUGGUAAAUAGAUUUUUUACUCAUCCAAUGUUAUGCCAUUACCACUUUGAAUUUAGGAAAACUAAUUCAGGAUCCUUCGAGCCAAUGUAGAGGGAAAAUGGAAGAUUCAUAAGGCCAUUCCGGGCUCGCUCUGGUUCAAAAUAAAUAACUUUGAGCUUGGACAUGCAUUAAAAAUAUUUUUAAAACAAAUUUCCAAACUAUUCAUAAAAUGAUGGAAUGCUUUUUGAUUGCCCAUUUGAUUGUGAAUUUUAUUUUGGUUGACUGUUGAGGCUUGAGUAGAGAACACUCUAGUUCGACAAACUAAUUAUUCAUGCAUGAUUGCUUGUUUUACCUUGAGCGAGGACGAUCAAGAAUUAAGUUGGGGGUGUUUGAUAGUUGAAAUGUGUUAUUUUCUUCUGCUUAACUCAGGGUUGUUUAGCUACUUAAUUUGUUUUAAUUGCUUAUUUUGUAGGACUUGAGUGUACAAGCAGUUGGAUCAAGCGUUUGGGACUUAAAGACGCUAAAAUGACAAAAUUAGAAGCUAAAUUGAUCAAAUGACCAAAAAAGAAAGAAUGCCUGGAAGUAGAGCAGCGUUGCAACGCUGCCCUCAAAGAUGCCAGUGUUGCAACGCACUCCAACGCUGAAGCUUGAAUCUUAAGACAGAAGCAUCAGCGUUGCAAUGAUGCAAAGUUUGACGCAAAUAACUCAGCGCGCGUAGCGCAACCGAGCGUUGCAACGCCUCCCUAGCGUUGCGACACUGCGGCUGGCCUAUAAAAGGAACCCUUAAGGUUCAGCUGAAAUCAUCCCAUCUUCUACCUUCUACUUCCAAUUUUGGGCAUUUUAGUCUCUUUUCUAGCUCUUUUUUUUAUUGCUUAUGCUUUUAGUUUCGUAAUAAGUUCUUUCUGUUUGCUAAUCGUGCUGAUUUUCGACAUGUUUCGUGGCUAAAGGGUAAGAACUUAGCUUGGGUUAUUUAGUUUAAUUUCAUUCCAAUGUAAUUCUUGAGACUCGUUUUGUA